CAGUAGCCGCGGUAAUACGAAGGGUGCAAGCGUUAAUCGGAAUUACUGGGCGUAAAGCGUGCGUAGGCGGUGAGUUAAGUCUGCUGUGAAAUCCCCGGGCUCAACCUGGGAAUGGCAGUGGAUACUGGCUCGCUAGAGUGUGUCAGAGGAUGGUGGAAUUCCCGGUGUAGCGGUGAAAUGCGUAGAGAUCGGGAGGAACAUCAGUGGCGAAGGCGGCCAUCUGGGACAACACUGACGCUGAGGCACGAAAGCGUGGGGAGCAAACAGGAUUAGAGACCCCCGUAGUCCCUGUCUCUUAUAU
rnacentral:rRNA from 1 species